AUGCUGCAGCUUUGGGUCAAGGGAACCAUGGGCACCUUCCUGGCAUGGCUGCCCUGGCUGGUACCCGUGCAUCCAGGAGUAAGCCCGAGGGCAGCGGGGUGCAGGGGCUGGGUCUUCAAUCCUGAGCUGAGUGGCAAGAAAACAUGGGAAAUGUCAGAGGUGAAGAGAAAGCAGAAGCUGGGUCCGCAGCACUUGCACUGCCUCUCUCUGGGGGGUGACUGGCACUUGUGGAGGCAGCGUCGUGCUGGUGCUUUGGACACGGCCCAGGUCCUGCCCACAUCCGAGCAGUUCACCCACAGGAUCCAGGGAGCCACGUGCAUUUUCUUGCGGGGAUCCACAUGGGCGAAGGCAGCUAGGAAGACCCUGCACAAGACGAAACGGGCUGGGGGAAAGGGGCAUGCCAGACAUCCUCCUGUUCCUGUGGGCAACGUACGCGACCUGGAGCUGCAAACUGGCGCCAGGUGCACGGUCCAACACAGUCGGGCUCGUGAGAUAUUUUGCAGGACCCCUCCUGAGACAGCAGGGGGUUUUCAUGCUGACCAACGGUCCGACUGGCUCGCGAACCCGCUGGGGAGCCACACAACCCUGGUCGAGCCGUGCAGUGGGCACAGGCUGCAGCGUGCAGGCCACACAACCACGGCCAGCCACAAGAAGAUGCAGGAGGCGGUGAGAUGCAUCGUGGGCUUGCUCCGGGGCGAUGCUUGUCACGGCAUGAGGAAACAUAUAAAAGACCGCAGAGACCUGAACUGGUGGAUAGCCCACCGAGCCCUCCCACUGAGGCCCAGAGAUGUAGAGAAGGGCAACUGGGGAGACCCAGCUGCCCAAGGGCAAUCUGCCAAGGAGACUAGCGGCACCUCCUGUAAGGAGGUGUGGAAGAAGGUAAAGCGGCUCUGCGAAGCAGCAACAGGGCUCAGACCGCUGACCAGAGACGGCGCUAUGCGGACAUCUGCCGAAACACCAGGGGAGCUCGUCCGCCCGCUUCGACCAGGUCACGUGGUGCGUGAGGAGCACCCCGUGGAGGUGCAGCCACCUCCUGACAAGCACACCCGUGGACCUCGAGGGGGUAGACUGCACCCCAGUGGCUCCGAGCGAGUGCGAGGCCCACUACCACAAAUUGGCAGCAGCGAGGACGCAGCCAAACCCACCUGGCAGAGGGACACUCGGCUCAGGGUCUUUCACGACCCUGCAGCGGGGAAAUGGAGAGCGCCAGCAAAGAGGACCUCGAGACAACCGGAUCGGAGGACGACGAUGAGGGCAACAGCAGCUGCAGGUCCUCCAGCAAAAGCAACGGCAAAUGAACCGAGUUUUAAACCCUGGAUUCGGGGACAGGAGUAA
rnacentral:lncRNA from 1 species